GUAUGAUAUUAUAUACCAUGUAUUACACAUAUAAUAAACCCUGUAUGAUAUUAUACAGCAUGUAUUACACAUAUAAUAAACCCUGUAUGAUAUUAUACACCAUGUAUUACACAUAUAAUAAAUGCAGUAUGAUAUUAUACACCAUGUAUUACACAUAUAAUAAACCCUGUAUGAUAUUAUACAGCAUGUAUUACACAUAUAAUAAACCCUGUAUGAUAUUAUACACCAUGUAUUACACAUAUAAUAAAC